CAAUAGCGUAUAUUAAAGUUGUUGCAGUUAAAAGGCUCGUAGUUGGAUUUCUGGGAGGGUGCCAAUGUCCGUCGUCGUACGUGUUGCAGCGGCGCCCUUCCAUCCUUCUGUUAACGACUUUGGGCAUUCAUUUGCCGGAGUCGGGCUCAGAUAUUUUACCUUGAGAAAAUUAGAGUGUUCAAAGCAGGCUAACGCCUUGAAUACAUUAGCAUGGAAUAAUAAGAUAGGACCUUGGUUCUAUUUUGUUGGUUUCUAGAGCUGAGGUAAUGAUUAAUAGGGAUAGUUGGGGGCAUUAGUAUUUAAUUGUCAGAGGUGGAAUUCUCGGAUUUGUUAAAGACUAACUUAUGCGAAAGCAUUUGCCAAGGAUGUUUUCAUUAAUCAAGAACGAAAGUUAGGGGAUCAAAGACGAUCAGAUACCGU
rnacentral:rRNA from 1 species